rnacentral:rRNA from 1 species
GGCUUAGAAGCAGCCAUCAUUUAAAGAAAGCGUAAUAGCUCACUGGUCGAGUCGGCCUGCGCGGAAGAUGUAACGGGGCUAAACCAUGCACCGAAGCUGCGGCAGCGACGCUGAUGCGUUGUUGGGUAGGGGAGCGUUCUGUAAGCCUGUGAAGGUGUGCUGUGAGGCAUGCUGGAGGUAUCAGAAGUGCGAAUGCUGACAUAAGUAACGAUAAAGCGGGUGAAAAGCCCGCUCGCCGGAAGACCAAGGGUUCCUGUCCAACGUUAAUCGGGGCAGGGUGAGUCGACCCCUAAGGCGAGGCCGAAAGGCGUAGUCGAUGGGAAACAGGUUAAUAUUCCUGUACUUGGUGUUACUGCGAAGGGGGGACGGAGAAGGCUAUGUUGGCCGGGCGACGGUUGUCCCGGUUUAAGCGUGUAGGCUGGUUUUCCAGGCAAAUCCGGAAAAUCAAGGCUGAGGCGUGAUGACGAGGCACUACGGUGCUGAAGCAACAAAUGCCCUGCUUCCAGGAAAAGCCUCUAAGCAUCAGGUAACAUCAAAUCGUACCCCAAACCGACACAGGUGGUCAGGUAGAGAAUACCAAGGCGCUUGAGAGAACUCGGGUGAAGGAACUAGGCAAAAUGGUGCCGUAACUUCGGGAGAAGGCACGCUGAUAUGUAGGUGAAGUCCCUCGCGGAUGGAGCUGAAAUCAGUCGAAGAUACCAGCUGGCUGCAACUGUUUAUUAAAAACACAGCACUGUGCAAACACGAAAGUGGACGUAUACGGUGUGACGCCUGCCCGGUGC